UGAGGAAUAUUGGUCAAUGGACGAGAGUCUGAACCAGCCAAGUAGCGUGAAGGAUGAAGGUUCUAUGGAUUGUAAACUUCUUUUAUACGGGAAUAAACGAAUCCACGCGUGGAUUUUUGCAUGUACCGUAUGAAUAAGGAUCGGCUAACUCCGUGCCAGCAGCCGCGGUAAUACGGAGGAUCCGAGCGUUAUCCGGAUUUAUUGGGUUUAAAGGGAGCGUAGAUGGGUUGUUAAGUCAGUUGUGAAAGUUUGCGGCUCAACCGUAAAAUUGCAAUUGAUACUGGCAGUCUUGAGUACAGUUGAGGUAGGCGGAAUUCGUGGUGUAGCGGUGAAAUGCUUAGAUAUCACGAAGAACUCCGAUUGCGAAGGCAGCUUACUAACCUGUAACUGACAUUGAUGCUCGAAAGUGUGGGUAUCAAACAGGAUUAGAUACCCUGGUAGUCCACACGGUAAACGAUGAAUACUCGCUGUAGGCGAUAUACGGUCUGCGGCCAAGCGAAAGCAUUAAGUAUUCCACCUGGGGAGUACGCCGGCAACGGUGAAACUCAAAGGAAUUGACGGGGGCCCGCACAAGCGGAGGAACAUGUGGUUUAAUUCGAUGAUACGCGAGGAACCUUACCCGGGCUUAAAUUGCAACCGAAUAUGGCGGAAACGCCAUAGCUAGCAAUAGCGGUUGUGAAGGUGCUGCAUGGUUGUCGUCAGCUCGUGCCGUGAGGUGUCGGCUUAAGUGCCAUAACGAGCGCAACCCUUGCCGAUAGUUACUAACAGGUUAUGCUGAGGACUCUGUCGGGACUGCCAUCGUAAGAUGUGAGGAAGGUGGGGAUGACGUCAAAUCAGCACGGCCCUUACGUCCGGGGCUACACACGUGUUACAAUGGGGGGUACAGAAGGCAGCUACACGGCGACGUGAUGCUAAUCCCGAAAGCCUCUCUCAGUUCGGAUUGGAGUCUGCAACCCGACUCCAUGAAGCUGGAUUCGCUAGUAAUCGCGCAUCAGCCACGGCGCGGUGAAUACGUUCCC
rnacentral:rRNA from 1 species